UGUGGCAGGACCCUCUCUGCCAUGCGGGCCAUCCGUGUUUGAGCACUGCUGGGCGGACCCUGUGCUAGCUCUAUUCCCUCCCUAUCUCCUCUCCGCUUCGUGCGCUGGCGGUUGAUGGACGGACUCCGAAGACCUCAGCCGUAACAAGAUGCCGAUCUCGCCGCUGGGACUUCGGCCGCUUGUAGCGGGAUCCCGAUCCGGCCAGGCGUCCAGCGGAGUCCGACCGGGCAGGUUCCCCUGGACUCGGAACCUCGCAGCCGUAUAAAACCGAGGCGUCCCUUUUGCAUCCGUGGCGUCCGCCAUUACCGAGCGCAGAGGGAGAAAGCAGCGUCGCCACCGCGGAAUCCACACCUCGGGGUCAAACCGGUGUCCUGCGUGGCGUCUAGAGUUUUGGCCGAGUUCGGUGGUUGACACUACGGAUGUGUUGGAUCGGGUGAAUCAGUGGUGGCGAGUUAAUUCCUCGCCGGAGCACCAGUCCACCGUGAAUCCGCCUAUCGCCGUGGGCGCUGAUUACCGUCGCUCCUUUCUCGGGUAUGUAACUCCUACUGCGUUCGCCACAUUCCGUACUACGCAUACUCGUCGCCGAUUGGGUUUUGGUCGCCGUAUUGCGCUUGGGUGAAGAUCCGGCGAUGGCGUCCGCCGCGGCUGGGACGGCGCGGGUGCGCUCGGUUCUGGAGGAGGGCGACGGGUCCGUGGCCAUCGGAUCCGUGGACGACGGUUCAGAUUAGAGCGUAGCAUACCAAUUGGGUGGAAGAGCAGAGAAGCGUUUGAUCGUGAUCUAGCGGCUUGGAUUUGAGCGCGCGUUCGGGUAAUACUGACCGUAGAUCUUCAAUCCAACGUAUGGCGGGUUAUACCGGUUCAUUGACUCGUGAAUCUAAUCUGGGCGCUCGGCUUGCGAUCCAACGGCUCAGAUCGCACCGUACCCUUUCGCCGAGCCGAAAUUGUAAAAGAGCCCCUCUACUUUUCAAGAAUCAACCCGCAGUCCAACACUACUGUGCUCUGUGUCUAGGGAAAAUUAGGAUUUGGCCCCUGUGUUAUCUGUAAAUAGUGCGCCCAGUCCUGGGAAUUAUAAAAUCCAGAAAAAGUGAUUAGAGAAUGAUUUUAAUGAGAAAAUAAAUGCUAAAACUUGUUUAAUUCAUAUAAAAUUCAUAUUAAGUCCAAAUAAGUCCAUUCCAAUUUCUAUAAUUUUAUAAUAUUAUUGUUUAUCAAAUAGUGCCACUGAUUUGACAUGAAAGCCACUUUAAAAUUUAUCUCCUAAUUAAUCUUAUACGAAAUACAUAAAACCAUAGGAAAUUCAUAACUCCUCCGUUUUAACUCCGAUUUGAUCCGUUCAAGUUGCGUUAGUCUCGUAGCUUCGCGUAGAUUAUUUUUAUGCAGUGUGUUCUUAUGUUUGGUGUAAUGUUAAUUUUGCCUAUACACUGUUUGUUUGUAUUGCUACGAUUAGCAGUGAGGUCACGAGUCAUCUGAAGAUCCUGGUACCUGGAAUCUCAAGUCUCAGGCAAGUUGUGCCCUUGAUCACUUCUUUUUACCCACUCAUGUUCUAAUUAAUCAUAAUGAUCUGCAUAGGUUAAUUUUGAUGGGACCCAAUAGGUUACCCUAGUUUGUCUACCUUUAUACCUUGAUUACCACUGGACUUUUUGGGUAGUACUUGCUAUUGCUUUAUGUGGUUUUGGGUAUGAAGAUACAUUAUUCAUGAUCACACUUUUAUUAUCUGUUUAUUAUUACUGUUCAUGAUAAGAUCAUUAUGUUAAUUGGAACAUGGAGCGACCACCCGGGAAAACAGUGCUACCACAAUGGUUUAAUGGGACGCCCUUGGCCGAUUAAUUAGGAAAGCUAGUGGAAGACUACCUUACCCGAAAGGGGCAAGGGCAGUAGGGGAGUGGUCAGUGUAGGGAGGCCCUCGGGAGGAUUUUGCUGCGAUGGCGGUCCUGCAAGGGAUUCCUGCAUUGGAGCUUCCUAUAAACUGUAGCGGGUUUUCUGAAGCUAGUGGAACUUUGUAAAGGCCUCGUAGUGUUACCCUGCCUCGCCUCCUCGGUAGAGGUGUAUGGGAAGUCGCGAUCCCUUGGCAGAUGGGUAACACGACUUGUGGGUAAAGAUGCGCAACCUCUGCAGAGUGUAAAACGGGUAUACUAGCCGUGCUCACGGUCAUGAGCAGCUCGGACCCUCACAUGAUUAAAUUAUUGAACUUAAAUUCAAUUUGUCAUAUGCAUUGCAUCGCAGGUGAUGUUGUUACUUCUGUUCUACUAUUUAAUUGGGUUGGUAUUUACUUAUACUUAGUAAUUGCUAAUAAAAUUUUGACCAACUUUAAAAGCAAUGCUCAGCUUCAACCAUCCUCUUUGGUAAGCCUUACACUUCACGUGAGCUCCCACCUUUGGCGAGUUCAUGCAAAUUAUUCCCCACAACUUGUUGAGCGAUGAACGUAUGUGAGCUCACUCUUGCUGUCUCACACCCCCCCAUAGGUCAAGAACAGGUACCGCAGGAUGUGGCGCUUGGAGGAUGCUGCGAUGUGUUCGUGAGAGGUCUAGGCCGUCGUCUCCCAGUCAACUUUGGGUUGCUGGACCGUUGUCUCCUUAUAAUGUAAAUAUUUAUUUUGUAUAGAACUCCUGUUAUAUAUAAAGAUGUGACAUUCGAUCAUGUGCCAUGAUUCAUCAUAUGUGU
rnacentral:lncRNA from 1 species